rnacentral:lncRNA from 1 species
UUCCAAAUGGAUAAUUAAAUUUAAAUUUAAUUCAAAAUUAAAUUUAAAAAUUUAAAAAUAAUUUCAAAUUUAAACACACACUUUAAUUCACAAUCAAAGUUAGAAUUUUAAAACUUGAUUUCAAAUCUGGAACGGGAUAUUUUUGGAACAAGUUUCAAUUCCGUGUGAAUUCAAUUUUCAAUUCGGCAUUUUAGUAUUCCUAUGUUGCGCAGGAAUCGGAGCAUGAUUCGCAUAUACCAAACACCAACAGUGUUCAUUAUUCUGAUUCCGACUCUGAUUUUGGAGUAUAAAAAGAUCCUUAAUUCAAACAAGUAAUCUCAUAUUUUUCCAUAUUCAUAUUUUUCUUCUGAUGCGAAUUCAGAUGUGGAUAUAUAUAGGAUCCUAAAUUUUUAUUAUUAUAUCCGUCCGAUAUGAGUUGGAUUUAUAU